AAGGCUUUAAGUUAAUAAAACUAUUAGCCUUCAAAGCUAGAAAUAUAGGCCUUAAUUCUUUUAAGCCUUA
rnacentral:tRNA from 1 species